rnacentral:rRNA from 1 species
CCCUUAGAUGUUCGGGGCCGCACGCGCGCUACACUGAAUGGAUCAACGUGCCUUUCCCGAGGCUGAAAAGUCGAGGUAAUCCGUUGAACCCCAUUCGUGACGGGGAUAGGAGCUUGCAAUUAUUCUCCUUGAACGAGGAAUUCCUAGUAAACGCAAGUCAUCAGCUUGCAUUGAUUACGUCCCUGCCCUUUGUACACACCGCCCGUCGCACCUACCGAUUGAAUGGUCCGGUGAAAUCUUCGGACCGUGACUUUGAUUUGUUUACUCAAAACGCUGUUACGGGAAGUUGAUUAAACCUUACCAUUUAGAGGAAGGUGAAGUCGUAACG